GUGUCAGCAGCCGCGGUAAUACAGAGGGUGCGAGCGUUAAUCGGAAUUACUGGGCGUAAAGCGCGCGUAGGCGGCUUUGUAAGUCGGUUGUGAAAUCCCCGGGCUUAACCUGGGAACUGCAUCCGAGACUGCAUAGCUAGAGUAUGGGAGAGGGAAGUGGAAUUUCAGGUGUAGCGGUGAAAUGCGUAGAUAUCUGAAGGAACAUCAGUGGCGAAAGCGACUUCCUGGACCAAUACUGACGCUCAUGUGCGAAAGCGUGGGGAGCAAACAGGAUUAGAUACCCCGGUAGUCC
rnacentral:rRNA from 1 species